rnacentral:lncRNA from 1 species
UUCUGCUCUGUAGAACGGAGCCAGCUCCACAGCGAAGUGUUGUUCUAUGGUUUAGAUCAGCGCUUCUGAAUACGGGACUCCCGUGACUUCGUCUUUGUUGCAGAUUCGAGCUGGUACCGUGUUGUAGAACUGCUCUGGUUCAACUGUGACACCAUCUGUGUUGUAGAACCGCUCUGGAUCAACUGUGACUCCAUUCGUGUUGUAGAACCGCUCUGUGACACCAGCCUUGUUGUAGAACCGCUCUGGACCAACUGUGACUCCAUCCGUGUUGCAGAAGCGUUUUGUAACACCAUCCGUGUUGUAGAACCGCUCUGGACCAACUGUGAUUCCAUCCGUAUUGCAGAACCGCUUUUUGACGCCAUCCGUGUUGUAGAACUGCUCUGGACCAACUGUGACUCCAUCCGUGUUGUAGAACCGCUCUGGACCAACUGUGACUCCAUCCGCAUUGCAGAACCGCUUUUUGACGCCAUCCGUGUUGUAGAACUGCUCUGGACCAACUGUGACUCCAUCCGUGUUGUAGAACCGCUCUGGACCAACUGUGACUCCAUUCGUAUUGCAGAACCACUUUUUGACGUCAUCCGUGUUGUAGAACUGCUCUGGACCAACUGUGACUCCAUCCGUGUUGUAGAACCGCUCUGUGACACCUUCCGUGAUGUAGAACCGCUUUUUGACGCCAUCCGUGACUGUGACGCCAUCCGUGUUGUAGAACCGCUCUUGACCAACUGUGACUCCGUUCGUGUUGUAGAACCGCUCUGUGACACCUUUCGUGUUGUAGAACCGCUUUUUGACACCAUCCGUGUUGUAGAACCGCUUUGUGACACCAUCUUUGUUGUAGAAGCGCUUUGUGACACCAUCCGUCUUGUAGAACCGCUUUGUGACACCAUCUAGAAUGGAGAUCUAGGCUUCUUGUGACAAUAGUACUGGAACUAUCAUUUGCAUACCCAGAGGAAUAUCGGGACGAUAGACGCUGUGGGAAGUCCUUCUCUGUUUUGUAGAAGCGAGAUCUGCAGUCAUCACCCCUUUUCCAUAAUGUUCCAUCGAUGGCCCAUUGUCUUGAGGGUAAGUUGUACCACCUUGGUGUUCCUGUGAACCGUACCUCCGCUUUGUCGGAUUGGGAUUUAUUCCCAUCGAUGGUCCAUGGUAUGGAAGGCCAGUUGGAUCGCCGGUCUGCCCACGCUGACGACUUCUUAUUACCUACUUGUGCGACCUGGUCAAAAC